GACGAACCGUGCGAACGUUGUUCGGAUUCACUGGGCUUAAAGGGCGCGUAGGCGGUCGACCAAGUCUGGGGUGAAAUCUUUCGGCUUAACCGGAAAAGUGCCCCCGAUACUGGCCGGCUAGAGGGAGAUAGGGGCAUGUGGAACUUCCGGUGGAGCGGUGAAAUGCGUAGAUAUCGGAAGGAACGCCGGUGGCAAAAGCGACGUGCUGGAUCUCUUCUGACGCUGAGGCGCGAAAGCCAGGGGAGCAAAC
rnacentral:rRNA from 1 species